UACAGAGGGUGCGAGCGUUGUCCGGAAUCACCGGGCGUAAAGAGCUCGUAGGCGGCUUGGCAAGUCGGGUGUGAAACCUCCAGGCUCAACCUGGAGACGCCACUCGAUACUGCUAUGGCUAGAGUCCGGUAGGGGACCACGGAAUUCCUGGUGUAGCGGUGAAAUGCGCAGAUAUCAGGAGGAACACCGGUGGCGAAGGCGGUGGUCUGGGCCGGCACUGACGCUGAGGAGCGAAAGCGUGGGUAGCAAACAGG
rnacentral:rRNA from 1 species